GUCGCCGUAGCACAAUUGGUAGUGCAACGCACUCGUAAUGCGGAGGUUGCGGGUUCGGCUCCCGCCGGCGACA
rnacentral:tRNA from 1 species